rnacentral:rRNA from 1 species
AGCGUCUGGAAAGGCGCGCGAUACAGGGUGACAGCCCCGUACACAAAAAUGCACAUACUGUGAGCUCGAUGAGUAGGGCGGGACACGUGGUAUCCUGUCUGAAUAUGGGGGGACCAUCCUCCAAGGCUAAAUACUCCUGACUGACCGAUAGUGAACCAGUACCGUGAGGGAAAGGCGAAAAGAACCCCGGCGAGGGGAGUGAAAAAGAACCUGAAACCGUGUACGUACAAGCAGUGGGAGCACGCUUAGGCGUGUGACUGCGUACCUUUUGUAUAAUGGGUCAGCGACUUAUAUUCUGUAGCAAGGUUAACCGAAUAGGGGAGCCGAAGGGAAACCGAGUCUUAACUGGGCGUUAAGUUGCAGGGUAUAGACCCGAAACCCGGUGAUCUAGCCAUGGGCAGGUUGAAGGUUGGGUAACACUAACUGGAGGACCGAACCGACUAAUGUUGAAAAAUUAGCGGAUGACUUGUGGCUGGGGGUGAAAGGCCAAUCAAACCGGGAGAUAGCUGGUUCUCCCCGAAAGCUAUUUAGGUAGCGCCUCGUGAAUUCAUCUCCGGGGGUAGAGCACUGUUUCGGCAAGGGGGUCAUCCCGACUUACCAACCCGAUGCAAACUGCGAAUACCGGAGAAUGUUAUCACGGGAGACACACGGCGGGUGCUAACGUCCGUCGUGAAGAGGGAAACAACCCAGACCGCCAGCUAAGGUCCCAAAGUCAUGGUUAAGUGGGAAACGAUGUGGGAAGGCCCAGACAGCCAGGAUGUUGGCUUAGAAGCAGCCAUCAUUUAAAGAAAGCGUAAUAGCUCACUGGUCGAGUCGGCCUGCGCGGAAGAUGUAACGGGGCUAAACCAUGCACCGAAGCUGCGGCAGCGACGCUUAUGCGUUGUUGGGUAGGGGAGCGUUCUGUAAGCCUGUGAAGGUGUGCUGUGAGGCAUGCUGGAGGUAUCAGAAGUGCGAAUGCUGACAUAAGUAACGAUAAAGCGGGUGAAAAGCCCGCUCGCCGGAAGACCAAGGGUUCCUGUCCAACGUUAAUCGGGGCAGGGUGAGUCGACCCCUAAGGCGAGGCCGAAAGGCGUAGUCGAUGGGAAACAGGUUAAUAUUCCUGUACUUGGUGUUACUGCGAAGGGGGGACGGAGAAGGCUAUGUUGGCCGGGCGACGGUUGUCCCGGUUUAAGCGUGUAGGCUGGUUUUCCAGGCAAAUCCGGAAAAUCAAGGCUGAGGCGUGAUGACGAGGCACUACGGUGCUGAAGCAACAAAUGCCCUGCUUCCAGGAAAAGCCUCUAAGCAUCAGGUAACAUCAAAUCGUACCCCAAACCGACACAGGUGGUCAGGUAGAGAAUACCAAGGCGCUUGAGAGAACUCGGGUGAAGGAACUAGGCAAAAUGGUGCCGUAACUUCGGGAGAAGGCACGCUGAUAUGUAGGUGAAGUCCCUCGCGGAUGGAGCUGAAAUCAGUCGAAGAUACCAGCUGGCUGCAACUGUUUAUUAAAAACACAGCACUGUGCAAACACGAAAGUGGACGUAUACGGUGUGACGCCUGCCCGGUGCCGGAAGGUUAAUUGAUGGGGUCAGCGCAAGCGAAGCUCUUGAUCGAAGCCCCGGUAAACGGCGGCCGUAACUAUAACGGUCCUAAGGUAGCGAAAUUCCUUGUCGGGUAAGUUCCGACCUGCACGAAUGGCGUAAUGAUGGCCAGGCUGUCUCCACCCGAGACUCAGUGAAAUUGAACUCGCUGUGAAGAUGCAGUGUACCCGCGGCAAGACGGAAAGACCCCGUGAACCUUUACUAUAGCUUGACACUGAACAUUGAGCCUUGAUGUGUAGGAUAGGUGGGAGGCUUAGAAGUGUGGACGCCAGUCUGCAUGGAGCCGACCUUGAAAUACCACCCUUUAAUGUUUGAUGUUCUAACGUUGACCCGUAAUCCGGGUUGCGGACAGUGUCUGGUGGGUAGUUUGACUGGGGCGGUCUCCUCCUAAAGAGUAACGGAGGAGCACGAAGGUUGGCUAAUCCUGGUCGGACAUCAGGAGGUUAGUGCAAUGGCAUAAGCCAGCUUGACUGCGAGCGUGACGGCGCGAGCAGGUGCGAAAGCAGGUCAUAGUGAUCCGGUGGUUCUGAAUGGAAGGGCCAUCGCUCAACGGAUAAAAGGUACUCCGGGGAUAACAGGCUGAUACCGCCCAAGAGUUCAUAUCGACGGCGGUGUUUGGCACCUCGAUGUCGGCUCAUCACAUCCUGGGGCUGAAGUAGGUCCCAAGGGUAUGGCUGUUCGCCAUUUAAAGUGGUACGCGAGCUGGGUUUAGAACGUCGUGAGACAGUUCGGUCCCUAUCUGCCGUGGGCGCUGGAGAACUGAGGGGGGCUGCUCCUAGUACGAGAGGACCGGAGUGGACGCAUCACUGGUGUUCGGGUUGUCAUGCCAAUGGCACUGCCCGGUAGCUAAAUGCGGAAGAGAUAAGUGCUGAAAGCAUCUAAGCACGAAACUUGCCCCGAGAUGAGUUCUCCCUGACCCUUUAAGGGUCC